UACGGGGGGGGCUAGCGUUGUUCGGAAUUAUUGGGCGUAAAGAGCUCGUAGGCGGCGUGUCGCGUUGGUUGUGAAAGCCCGGGGCUUAACUCCGGGUCUGCAGUCGAUACGGGCAGGCUAGAGUUCGGUAGGGGAGAUCGGAAUUCCUGGUGUAGCGGUGAAAUGCGCAGAUAUCAGGAGGAACACCGGUGGCGAAGGCGGAUCUCUGGGCCGAUACUGACGCUGAGGAGCGAAAGCGUGGGGAGCGAACAGG
rnacentral:rRNA from 1 species